AUGAAGUUGCCUGUUAGGCUGUUGGUGCUGAUGUUCUGGAUUCCUGCUUCCAGCAGUGAUGCUGUGAUGACCCAAACUCCACUCUCCCUGCCUGUCAGUCUUGGAGAUCAAGCCUCCAUCUCUUGCAGGUCUAGUCAGAGCCUUGAAAACAGUAAUGGAAACACCUAUUUGAACUGGUACCUCCAGAAACCAGGCCAGUCUCCACAGCUCCUGAUCUACAGGGUUUCCAACCGAUUUUCUGGGGUCCUAGACAGGUUCAGUGGUAGUGGAUCAGGGACAGAUUUCACACUGAAAAUCAGCAGAGUGGAGGCUGAGGAUUUGGGAGUUUAUUUCUGCCUCCAAGUUACACAUGUCCCUCC